AACUAGACUCAUUAGGCUUUAAUCUCAUUUUUUUCCAACCCUUAACUCAAUUUUCACAAUUUAUGGUGAAUUUUCAAAGUCAAACUACUGCUACUUACCAAAAACUGUUUUAGUACAAAUAUUGUUAACUAGUUCAUAACAUCUUUACUUCAAUUCAUUCAAACUCUAUACAUGCCAUAUAAAUCUUUAAACAUAAAACAAAAACUACCAGAAUUGAUCUAAAUAGUGUGCCCUGUUGUGUUGAUCCGAUUUACCCACUUCACUUCAAGUCAAUCUACAUAAAAAUAUUAAACACACACAAGUAAGCUUAUUGAAGCUUAGUAAGCUCAUAGGCAUAUAAACACAAAUCAUAUCAAAUAUCGUACACAAUCUUAUAUCUAUUAGUUUAACUAUUUCAUCCUCCAAAUCACAAUUUCAUUAAUAACUCAUUGGAAUAAUUUCCAUAUGGCUACUCACAAUUUAACUCCCUUAGGCCCAUUUCUCAUUUACUUCAUUGUCAAUUUAAGGAACAAUAAGGGAAUUGAGUGCUUCAUUAUCACAUUGCCAUAGUAAACUAUGGACUUUCACAUUGUUAUGCAUCACACACCGAAGCCAUAGCCUUGCCAUGGUCUUACACGGUUCACAUAUUGUAACACCCCUUACCCGAGACCGUUGCCGGAAUCGAGUACGAGGCAUUACUUAGCUUAUCUUCCUAAUUCAAUGACCACCAAAAUUGUAACACCCCUUACCCGAGACCGUUGCCGGAAUCGAGUACGAGGCAUUAUUUAGCUUAUCUUACUAAUUCGGGGCAUAAAAAUUCGUUUUAAAAAUUAAUUUCACUGUUUACAGUAAUCUGUCCAAUCGCGCAGCAGUUACUAAAUUGAUUAUAACUCGAGCUACGGAACUCCAAAUUAAAUUUCGUAAAUUUUCCCUGAAACUAGACUCAUAUAUAUACUCACCAUAAAAUUUUUAGAAUUUUUGGUUCAGCAAAUUAGUACAGUUUAUUAGUUAAAGUCUCCCCUGUGUCACCACCAGACUGCCCUGACCUCUAGUCACUAAAAAUAAGUUUUCUCACUAUAGAAUUUUCAUAUGAAGUUCUUACUUGUUUCUAUAGAAAAUAGACUCAUUAAGGAAUCUAAGCAUGUAAAUUUCAACUCAUAACCAUUUUUGUACAAUUUUUAAUUAUUUUCUAAACUCAGAACAGGGGACUCCAAAAACAGUUCUGACCCUAUCUUACUAAAAUUCACAUAUCUUAAAAUAUAAAUUUCUUUUUCUACACCGUUAUUUUUCCAUGAAAAUAGACUCAACAAGCUUUAAUUCCAUAUAUCAUUCACCCUCUAAUUCAUUUUAUACUAUCCUAGGUGAUUUUUCAAAGUUACGUCACUAUUACUGCCUGAAUUCUGUUUCUUUGCAAAAUUUUACCAUUUUAUGACUUUCAUACCUAAUUUAUCACUUAGACUUUUAUAACAAUAAUUAACUUCAUCCUUGACCAUUUAAACAACCAUUCAUCAUCAAAUACUUACACAUCAUUCUAUAGUAAAAUCAUAUUUACAAAUAUACAAAAUUACUAAAUUCCUAUACAUGCCAUAACUAAAAGAAAUGUUCACCACCACAAUUAGCUCAGAAUCGGCUUUGGAUGCUGAUUCAACAAUCCGACUUUGACCUAACCUGCGCACGGAAACAACCGUACGCUGAGUAUGGAAAUACUCAGUGGUAUUACCAUAAUUCGAAUUAAUAACAUUAAUCGAUAAAUUAUAUACAUUUUAUUUAUGUCUACAAUUAUUCAUUAAUUAUCUCAUGCAUUAAAUCAACUUGAUAAUUAAUAACAAUAAGCUAUAAUUCAAAUCUUGUAUUUAAUUGUAUUCAUACCUUAUUUCACUAUCUCAAUUCCAUUGGAUUUUUCUUUACAUCUCAUUCCAAUAGUUCAUUUCAAUUCAUAUACAAUUCAUUUCAUUUAAUUUAUAUUCAAUAUAAAUUUUAUUGCAAUUUGUACUCACUAAUAUCAUAUAACAAAAUUUACUCUUUAUCACAUCAUGAACUUUGGGCUCAUAUCUUUAAAUCUCUUAUUUCGAUUUCCAAUUCACACAUCAAUUCACAACUUCACUUUUUCGUUUCUUCCCAUAGCUCAAUCAAUCACAUUUAUUCAAUUUUCUCAUUUCAAUUAUUUACCCCUAUUAACAAGACUCGGACCUUGGCGGAUACACGGAUCCAACCAAACACACCAAAAUGGCACCCAGUGCCUCAUCGGAUAGUUCGAAGCAAUAGUUGACACCCAGUGUCUCAUCGGCCCAGCCGAAGUAAAGUUGGUACCCAGUACCUCAUCGAAUCUAUCCGAAGAAAUAUAGUGACACCCAGUGUCUCAUCGACUCAAGGUCGAAGUAUCCCUGAACUCUUCCAAUCCUAUGGCAUGCCAACUAUAUCCGACUCAGCCCGACUAGUUAAUAGGGUUUCCGAAUCACAUUUCAAUUCAAUCACUUUCUCAUACUUUCAAUUCAAAUCAUUCCCAUUUAAUCACCAUUUGUUUCAAUACAUUUUUCUAUUUCAAAUUCACUUUCGAUUUAAUCGCAAUUCAACUCAGAUUCACUUCCCACUUUCAAAUCAAUAUACAAUUCAAUACCAAUACAUAUUUCAGAUAUUCACAUAUAAUCAUACUUCGAUUCAAUUCAAACCACUUUUCAAUCAAUACACAAUUCACAUAUUCACAUAUCUCAAUUUAAUAUAUCAUUUAUUCAAUUCAUAUUUUAAUUCAUUCAAUUAAAUAUUGAUAUUCUCCUUAUUUUUAUUUACUAACAUAUUAUUCAAAAUUCAAUAAUUACUGUCAAUAAAUUCAAUAUCAAUACGUAUAUAUAUUAUUCAAUUCAAUUAUGAAACUCACCUCAAUUUGCUUAUCGUGUAUAUUAAUUUAAUUUUCAACGAUUAAUAAUUAAAUUCGAAUUAUAGUAAUACUAACCGUAAUUUCUCUCGAGUCACUCCUUGUCCACUUUCUCCUUUCCUUUCUCGGACAAUGACUCGUACACGACAUUAGCUACGUAAUUAAACAAUUAAAAAUCAUUAAUACACAAUUUCAUUAAAAUAUUUCCUUUUAUACCUAAACUUUACCCAAAUUCUAAUUUAAUCCCUUACCAAUACUAAUUUUAUUUUUCCCAAUCUAACUCUAUAUUCUCUCUUAAUUCUUACUAUAAAGUCAAUUUAAUUCCUCAAUUUCACCAUAAAUCCCUAAUUUCGGGAUUCUUUCAAUUUAAUCCCUAUCGAUUCAAAACUUAUAUUUUAUUUUACAAUUACAUUCUUUACUAACUUCUAACUUGAAAUUAAAUCAAUUUAACCCCUAACUAAACCUAUAUAUUUUUCUUUCUCAAUUCAUAUCCUUAUUCUACCCAAUUUCUUGCUAAACUCAUAUUUAACUAUUUAAUUUUUAUCAUGUUUUCAUAAUUCCGAAUUUAUUUCAAAUUAAUCCCUAAAAUUCAAAACUUAUAGUUUAGUUUACAAUUCAAUCCUUUAUUCAAUUCCAAUCAAAAUUUCUAUCAAAUACAUCCCUAAUUUAACAAUUUAUUCAACAUGAACCAUGCUUAAUAAUCUACUAACUUUCAAAAUUUCAAAAAAAAUAUCAAAAUUAAGAGAAAAGGGGAUUAAAUUGACUUACCAAAUUACUUUGAACCUUAAAACCCCAAAUUUCCCUUUUUCUUUUCUUUUCUUUCUUUCUUUCCUUCCUUCCUUCUCUGUUUCGUUUUGCUCUCUGUUUCUUUCUUUCUCCCUUCUCUGUUUUGUUUUGUUUUGCUCUCUGUUUCUUUUCUUUCUUUCUUUGUCAUAUAUAUAUAAUAUAAUAUAAUAUAAAAUAUUAAUAAUAAUCAUUACUUACAUAUAUAUAAUAUAUAUAUUAACUAGAAUAUCUCAGAUAUUUCUUUCAUUAUGCCGCCUCAACUUUAGAAAAAGGCAUAAUUGCCUAUUUGGUCCUUUUAACUUUUCUUUAAUCUAUAAUUAAACUUUUAUCCCUAUUGCAAUUUAAUCCUUUUUCAUAAUUAACUAUCGAAACAUUAAAAUUUAUUAACGAAACUUUAAUAUUAUCCUAUUGACACUUCGUAAAUAUUUAUAAAAAUAUUUACGGCUCAGUUUAUAAUAUCGAGGUCUCGAUACCUCGUUUUCGACCCAAUUUACCUAAUAAUUUCUUUUAAAUCACAAAAUUCACUGAUUUAAAAAUAUUUCUAAAAUCACACUUAACUUAUAAUUAUUAAUUAAUAAAUUUUUCUAACUUUUUCAUCAAUUUUAGUGAUCUCAAAUCACUAUUCUGACACUACUAAAAAUUGGGCUGUUACAACUCUUCCCCCUAAAAAAAAUUUCGUCCUCGAAAUUUCUCACCUGAUACAGGCUAUUAAGUCAAAUCUUUCUUCCACCCUUUCAAUCAAAGUCCAUAAAAAUUAAUCAUAACUCAUAUCACUUCCGAAAUCAUAUCAGAACUCAUUUUAGAACUUGAUACUAUGCCUGAACUUAACUGAGUAACUCUGAUGUUCUCUUGCCAUCACUUUUUCACUAGUAGUAUGACUACUAAGAAAUUUCCAGUAAUUGUCUGUCGAAACAUAACUGAGAAACUCGAAUUAUCUUAUUUAAUACCUUUAAACGAAGACCUUGGAAACCCAUCCAGCGAGAAGAAAACAGAUAAUUUAAACCCAUUGUGGAGACCCAAAAUAUAUUGAUUCCAUCACUGAUGAUUACUCAACUUUUCACUGAAUAACCCACUCUGAUUAGAACUGAGUCGAUUUUUAUCUUUCAGAUAAUAACAUUCUAGAAUAAUCCAUUCUUCUUGUUGUCAAAACAAUUUAGAUAUACCAUAUAUCAUAAUCCUCUCAGAACACCAACCGAAAAUUACCACAAAUAGCAUUUAACUCAAACGAAUUUUGACAUUCCAUUAUUGACUUGUUGACAUAAUUCAGAAUUACCUGAGAAAUGAAAACCAAAAUACAAGUUUGAGCUCAAUCUUCCUCCAUCUAUACUUUUGCCGAUGUCAACCCUUUCACGAAAACUAGAAAGGAAUUAUAUAUAAUAAAAAUAUUUCAAUCAUUAACAUCGAAGCUUUGAACUAUACCGAAGCCACAACUAUCAGAUAGAUUAAAAACCAUAAUGCCAUAAUAGAACUGACGUUCCAACCGUAUAGAUAGAACAAUACUUCAACAUCAAUAAUGCAUUCCAAAAUAGAUGAAAAAGACCGAAGUAGUCCCAAUAACAACCAGUGCAGUAAUACAACUUCUAUAAUCUGAAAUCCAUAUCACCGGGUUCCCAUGAUCAAACCAAGAUUUAUAACAGUAAUAAAUAUAAUUACCUCUGGCCAACGAAUAUCUUGUACGGAUGAACCAUGGUUAAUAAAUAAGAUUAGACCAUAAGAAUAAUAAGAAAACCGGGAUAAUAGAAUCUAAGAUGUGAAGCUAUACUAAAUUUCCGAGAAGAAAAACCACAUUGAAUGAUAAAGAGAUCGAUGAUAUCCCAGAGAAAAUCCAAAAGAAUAUCCCAGAGAAAAUCCAAAAGAAGAAUAUCACUUGUACGUACUAGGAAUAGUUGUGAUAAAGACAAUAUAAAUUCCAUAUAUAUAAUUCAGAGCUUCAACCAGUAGAAAUAGAAAAUAACUUCAUAUGAGUCUUAUCAUCAAAUCUUCCAUCGAACAUAAUAGAUUAGAAAACCAAAGAAAGAUAGAGGAAUCCCGAUCAUGAAUCAACCAGACUAAUAAUAAUUCUGUCUAACAAUAUGAUUAGCCAACCUUGCUAUAUGAUAAGAAUCAUAUCUGAAAAUAAAUAAUUGCAUAUACCUCUGAGGAUAAAAGAGCAUAUAGAAUACCCAUAUAGAAUACCCAGAAGAAAUCGUUGUAAGAUACCCGACUAUAACAACUGCAUUCAGAUAUGGUUGCAAUUUUCAACACAAUCCCACUGAUUACUAAAGUCAUCAAUAAUCUCGCAUUAUCCCAAUCAUUAAAGAAAUCAAUUCAGAAGAAAUUCCGAUUAACCUGCUCUUUAAAUUUUAUACCUGAGUAAGUCGAUUACUCGUGAAUAGCUUCUUCCUUAAUAGCGACAUUGCAAAUCCCAAUAAUCAUUUAAAAAAAAUCUAAUAUCCUUUUUAGAACUCUCUUUACUUGCUAUCCCAUCCACAAUUCUGACUGCAUUAUUAUUCUUUCAAUUAUUGAACUCUUCAAUUACACACUUGUAAACUUAAUGAAUACAAUUCUUGUAAAUUCCUUUGUACAGGUGAGGGGGUGAAGGUCGUAAAGCCUCAAAAUUUGACUCUCAUAUAUAUAUAUAUACACAUAACAUGACUUUUAUCGUCAAUAUAUUCAUUACAAACAUUCAUUCCAUACCUUAUAACUCUUUACUCAUAUAGGCAACUCCCCUUUCUCUAUCAAAUACUCAAAUAUCAUUUUCAUCACUGUUGGAACUAGAUCAAUUGGAGACAUUUUUGUCUAUUAGUAAAACAUUUCUCAUUUAUCAAGGUUACUCUUUUAAAUGUAUAAAUGUAUAUUUUCAUCCUUAUCUAUAAGGAUUACUAUUUUAAAUCUCCAUACAGAACUAAAUAACAUUUACUUAUUCACAACUUUAAAUUAUUUUAUUACAAAUACAUACUUCUUUAUUCACAGCUUUGUAACUUAUUUUUCCUUUAUAAUCAUUCAUCAUUGAAUCAAAGAUAAUCUUUUAUCUUGUAACAUUUUUUUUAGCAGAGGCCCAGUAGACGAAACAGAAUACUUAGGAUAUACGGGACUGUACAGAGAGCACAAAUGUGCUAAACGGAGAGCACUAACGUGCUAGUGAUCAGAGAGUGUGCUAAUAUUCAGAGAGCACUGACGUGCUAAAUAUCAGAGAGCACUGAUGUGCUAAACAGAGAGCAUUGAUGUGCUAAUAAUCAGAGAGCACGCUAAACUCCCUUAAUAUCCUAAUAGUUCUAACCUCGUCUACUUGGGCAAAUUAUUUCAUUCAUGCAUGCAUAUCACUUUUACACUUUUCGCACAAUACUUUUACAUGCUUUACAAUUUAAUUCUUGUACCAAUAAUUUGUGCAUUUAUAUCUUCUCUAUCUUUAGCACAUGUAAUAUAUUUCAAAAUUUACUAUUCAUCCAUAAUUCCUUAAUAAUCCUUAUCAUCUACUUCAUAUAUUACUUUUGUAUUUUUUUUUUAUAAUUUAGUUAUCAAUUCAAUAGUUCGUAUAGCACUAUAAUUUAUUUUUCAAUGAAACAUAUAACGCAAUAUUCAUCAUCAUAUUCAUUCGACAUUUUCAACUCUAAAACAUAAGCAAAUAUAUCAGCAUCCAAAUCUCGACUCAAUUCGACACAAUUAUGGCAUGUACCUCUAAACUCAAUUCUGAGCUCGAUUUAGUCCGAGAAUCGACUAAACCUGCAAAGCUCUGAUACCACCAAAAUUGUAACACCCCUUACCCGAGACCGUUGCCGGAAUCGAGUACGAGGCAUUACUUAGCUUAUCUUACUAAUUCAAUGACCACCAAAAUUGUAACACCCCUUACCCGAGACCGUUGCCGGAAUCGAGUACGAGGCAUUAUUUAGCUUAUCUUACUAAUUCGGGGCAUAAAAAUUCGUUUUAAAAAUUAAUUUCACUGUUUACAGUAAUCUGUCCAAUCGCGCAGCAGUUACUAAAUUGAUUAUAACUCGAGCUACGGAACUCCAAAUUUAAUUUCGUAAAAUUUCCCUGAAACUAGACUCAUAUAUAUACUCACCAUAAAAUUUUUAGAAUUUUUGGUUCAGCAAAUUAGUACAGUUUAUUAGUUAAAGUCUCCCCUGUGUCACCACCAGACUGCCCUGACCUCUAGUCACUAAAAAUAAGUUUUCUCACUAUAUAAUUUUCAUAUGAAGUUCUUACUUGUUUCUAUAGAAAAUAGACUCAUUAAGGAAUCUAAGCAUGUAAAUUUCAACUCAUAACCAUUUUUGUACAAUUUGUAAUUAUUUUCUAAACUCAGAACAGGGGACUCCAAAAACAGUUCUGACCCUAUCUUACUAAAAUUCACAUAUCUUAAAAUAUAAAUUUCUUUUUUCUACACCGUUAUUUUUCCAUGAAAAUAGACUCAACAAGAUUUAAUUCCAUAUAUCAUUCACCCUCUAAUUCAUUUUAUACUAUCCUAGGUGAUUUUUCAAAGUUACGUCACUAUUGCUGCCUGAAUUCUGUUUCUUUACAAAAUUUUACCAUUUUAUGACUUUCAUACCUAAUUUAUCACUUAGACUUUUAUAACAAUAAUUAACUUCAUCCUUGACCAUUUAAACAACCAUUCAUCAUCAAAUACUUACACAUCAUUCUAUAGUAAAAUCAUAUUUACAAAUAUACAAAAUUACUAAAUUCCUAUACAUGCCAUAACUAAAAGAAAUGUUCACCACCACAAUUAGCUCAGAAUCGGCUUUGGAUGCUGAUUCAACAAUCCGACUUUGACCUAACCUGCGCACGGAAACAACCGUACGCUGAGUAUGGAAAUACUCAGUGGUAUUACCAUAAUUCGAAUUAAUAACAUUAAUCGAUAAAUUAUAUACAUUUUAUUUAUGUCUACAAUUAUUCAUUAAUUAUCUCAUGCAUUAAAUCAACUUGAUAAUUAAUAACAAUAAGCUAUAAUUCAAAUCUUGUAUUUAAUUGUAUUCAUACCUUAUUUCACUAUCUCAAUUCCAUUGGAUUUUUCUUUACAUCUCAUUCCAAUAGUUCAUUUCAAUUCAUAUACAAUUCAUUUCAUUUAAUUUAUAUUCAAUAUAAAUUUUAUUGCAAUUUGUACUCACUAAUAUCAUAUAACAAAAUUUACUCUUUAUCACAUCAUGAACUUUGGGCUCAUAUCUUUAAAUCUCUUAUUUCGAUUUCCAAUUCACACAUCAAUUCACAACUUCACUUUUUCGUUUCUUCCCAUAGCUCAAUCAAUCACAUUUAUUCAAUUUUCUCAUUUCAAUUAUUUACCCCUAUUAACAAGACUCGGACCUUGGCGGAUACACGGAUCCAACCAAACACACCAAAAUGGCACCCAGUGCCUCAUCGGAUAGUUCGAAGCAAUAGUUGACACCCAGUGUCUCAUCGGCCCAGCCGAAGUAAAGUUGGUACCCAGUACCUCAUCGAAUCUAUCCGAAGAAAUAUAGUGACACCCAGUGUCUCAUCGACUCAAGGUCGAAGUAUCCCUGAACUCUUCCAAUCCUAUGGCAUGCCAACUAUAUCCGACUCAGCCCGACUAGUUAAUAGGGUUUCCGAAUCACAUUUCAAUUCAAUCACUUUCUCAUACUUUCAAUUCAAAUCAUUCCCAUUUAAUCACCAUUUGUUUCAAUACAUUUUUCUAUUUCAAAUUCACUUUCGAUUUAAUCGCAAUUCAACUCAGAUUCACUUCCCACUUUCAAAUCAAUAUACAAUUCAAUACCAAUACAUAUUUCAGAUAUUCACAUAUAAUCAUACUUCGAUUCAAUUCAAACCACUUUUCAAUCAAUACACAAUUCACAUAUUCACAUAUCUCAAUUUAAUAUAUCAUUUAUUCAAUUCAUAUUUUAAUUCAUUCAAUUAAAUAUUGAUAUUCUCCUUAUUUUUAUUUACUAACAUAUUAUUCAAAAUUCAAUAAUUACUGUCAAUAAAUUCAAUAUCAAUACGUAUAUAUAUUAUUCAAUUCAAUUAUGAAACUCACCUCAAUUUGCUUAUCGUGUAUAUUAAUUUAAUUUUCAACGAUUAAUAAUUAAAUUCGAAUUAUAGUAAUACUAACCGUAAUUUCUCUCGAGUCACUCCUUGUCCACUUUCUCCUUUCCUUUCUCGGACAAUGACUCGUACACGACAUUAGCUACGUAAUUAAACAAUUAAAAAUCAUUAAUACACAAUUUCAUUAAAAUAUUUCCUUUUAUACCUAAACUUUACCCAAAUUCUAAUUUAAUCCCUUACCAAUACUAAUUUUAUUUUUCCCAAUCUAACUCUAUAUUCUCUCUUAAUUCUUACUAUAAAGUCAAUUUAAUUCCUCAAUUUCACCAUAAAUCCCUAAUUUCGGGAUUCUUUCAAUUUAAUCCCUAUCGAUUCAAAACUUAUAUUUUAUUUUACAAUUACAUUCUUUACUAACUUCUAACUUGAAAUUAAAUCAAUUUAACCCCUAACUAAACCUAUAUAUUUUUCUUUCUCAAUUCAUAUCCUUAUUCUACCCAAUUUCUUGCUAAACUCAUAUUUAACUAUUUAAUUUUUAUCAUGUUUUCAUAAUUCCGAAUUUAUUUCAAAUUAAUCCCUAAAAUUCAAAACUUAUAGUUUAGUUUACAAUUCAAUCCUUUAUUCAAUUCCAAUCAAAAUUUCUAUCAAAUACAUCCCUAAUUUAACAAUUUAUUCAACAUGAACCAUGCUUAAUAAUCUACUAACUUUCAAAAUUUCAAAAAAAAUAUCAAAAUUAAGAGAAAAGGGGAUUAAAUUGACUUACCAAAUUACUUUGAACCUUAAAACCCCAAAUUUCCCUUUUUCUUUUCUUUUCUUUCUUUCUUUCCUUCCUUCCUUCUCUGUUUCGUUUUGCUCUCUGUUUCUUUCUUUCUCCCUUCUCUGUUUUGUUUUGUUUUGCUCUCUGUUUCUUU
rnacentral:lncRNA from 1 species